rnacentral:rRNA from 1 species
UUGAACGCUGGCGGCAGGCCUAACACAUGCAAGUCGAGCGGAUGAAGGGAGCUUGCUCCUGGAUUCAGCGGCGGACGGGUGAGUAAUGCCUAGGAAUCUGCCUGGUAGUGGGGGAUAACGUCCGGAAACGGGCGCUAAUACCGCAUACGUCCUGAGGGAGAAAGUGGGGGAUCUUCGGACCUCACGCUAUCAGAUGAGCCUAGGUCGGAUUAGCUAGUUGGUGGGGUAAAGGCCUACCAAGGCGACGAUCCGUAACUGGUCUGAGAGGAUGAUCAGUCACACUGGAACUGGGACACGGUCCAGACUCCUACGGGAGGCAGCAGUGGGGAAUAUUGGACAAUGGGCGAAAGCCUGAUCCAGCCAUGCCGCGUGUGUGAAGAAGGUCUUCGGAUUGUAAAGCACUUUAAGUUGGGAGGAAGGGCAGUAAGUUAAUACCUUGCUGUUUUGACGUUACCAACAGAAUAAGCACCGGCUAACUUCGUG